rnacentral:rRNA from 1 species
AGUGAACGCUGGCGGUAGGCCUAACACGUGCAAGUCGAACGGCAGCACAGUAAGAGCUUGCUCUUACGGGUGGCGAGUGGCGGACGGGUGAGGAAUACAUCGGAAUCUACUUUUUCGUGGGGGAUAACGUAGGGAAACUUACGCUAAUACCGCAUACGACCUACGGGUGAAAGCAGGGGAUCUUCGGACCUUGCGCGAUUGAAUGAGCCGAUGUCGGAUUAGCUAGUUGGCGGGGUAAAGGCCCACCAAGGCGACGAUCCGUAGCUGGUCUGAGAGGAUGAUCAGCCACACUGGAACUGAGACACGGUCCAGACUCCUACGGGAGGCAGCAGUGGGGAAUAUUGGACAAUGGGCGCAAGCCUGAUCCAGCCAUACCGCGUGGGUGAAGAAGGCCUUCGGGUUGUAAAGCCCUUUUGUUGGGAGAGAAAAGCAGCAGGUUAAUACCCCGCUGUUCUGACGGUACCCAAAGAAUAAGCACCGGCUAACUUCGUG